AACGAACGCUGGCGGCAUGCCUAACACAUGCAAGUCGAACGAGACCUUCGGGUCUAGUGGCGCACGGGUGCGUAACGCGUGGGAACCUGCCCUUAGGUUCGGAAUAACUCCCCGAAAGGGGUGCUAAUACCGGAUAAUGUCUUCGGACCAAAGAUUUAUCGCCUUUGGAUGGGCCCGCGUUGGAUUAGCUAGUUGGUAGGGUAAAAGCCUACCAAGGCGACGAUCCAUAGCUGGGUUGAGAGGAAGAUCAGCCACACUGGGACUGAGACACGGCCCAGACUCCUACGGGAAGCAGCAGUGGGGAAUAUUGGACAAUGGGCGAAAGCCUGAUCCAGCAAGGCCGCGUGAGUGAUGAAGGCCUUAGGGUUGUAAAGCUCUUUUACCCGGGAUGAUAAUGACAGUACCGGGAGAAUAAGCUCCGGCUAACUCCGUG
rnacentral:rRNA from 1 species